rnacentral:tRNA from 1 species
AGCCCCGACAUAUUAGAUUGCAAACCUAAAUACGCCAAGGAAUUUUGGCCGGGGCUU